rnacentral:rRNA from 1 species
AACGAACGCUGGCGGCAGGCUUAACACAUGCAAGUCGAGCGCCCCGCAAGGGGAGCGGCAGACGGGUGAGUAACGCGUGGGAACGUACCUUUUGGUUCGGAACAACUCCGGGAAACUGGAGCUAAUACCGGAUAAGCCCUAACGGGGAAAGAUUUAUCGCCGAAAGAUCGGCCCGUGUCUGAUUAGCUAGUUGGUGAGGUAACGGCUCACCAAGGCGACGAUCAGUAGCUGGUCUGAGAGGAUGAUCAGCCACACUGGGACUGAGACACGGCCCAGACUCCUACGGGAGGCAGCAGUGGGGAAUAUUGGACAAUGGGCGCAAGCCUGAUCCAGCCAUGCCGCGUGAGUGAUGAAGGCCUUAGGGUUGUAAAGCUCUUUUGUCCGGGAAGAUAAUGACUGUACCGGAAGAAUAAGCCCCGGCUAACUUCGUG